rnacentral:rRNA from 1 species
UAGGAACCUGCCUUGUAGCGGGGGAUAACUAUUGGAAACGAUAGCUAAUCCGCAUAACAAAGGGGUGACACAUGUCAUUUAUUUGAAAGGGGCAAUUGCUCCACUACAAGAUGGACCUGCGUUGUAUUAGCUAGUAGGUGAGGUAACGGCUCACCUAGGCGACGAUACAUAGCCGACCUGAGAGGGUGAUCGGCCACACUGGGACUGAGACACGGCCCAGACUCCUACGGGAGGCAGCAGUAGGGAAUCUUCGGCAAUGGGGGCAACCCUGACCGAGCAACGCCGCGUGAGUGAAGAAGGUUUUCGGAUCGUAAAGCUCUGUUGUAAGUCAAGAACGAGUGUGAGAGUGGAAAGUUCACACUGUGACGGUAGCUUACCAGAAAGGGACGGCUAACUACGUGCCAGCAGCCGCGGUAAUACGUAGGUCCCGAGCGUUGUCCGGAUUUAUUGGGCGUAAAGCGAGCGCAGGCGGUUUGAUAAGUCUGAAGUUAAAGGCUGUGGCUCAACCAUAGUUCGCUUUGGAAACUGUCAAACUUGAGUGCAGAAGGGGAGAGUGGAAUUCCAUGUGUAGCGGUGAAAUGCGUAGAUAUAUGGAGGAACACCGGUGGCGAAAGCGGCUCUCUGGUCUGUAACUGACGCUGAGGCUCGAAAGCGUGGGGAGCGAACAGG